AGGGCUUUGGGGUGUUUGGGGCAAAUCGGGCAGGAUUUGGGGUUUUUGGGGGGUUCCUCACCCCGGUGCCCCCCCCCCAGGUACCUGGCCCCGGUGCUGGGGGCGCUGCGGAGGGGCCUGGGGGACCCCGAGGGCCUCGUGCGGGGGGCGGCCGCCUGCGCCCUGCGGAGCCUGGACGAGUGCCUGCAGCCCGAGGCGGGGGCGCUGGCCCUGGAGGCGCUGCCGGGGGCACUGCGGGCGCUGGGGGGGCCCCGGAGCUGGUUCGUGCUGGAGGCACUGGUGGAGAGCGCAGGUGGGGG
rnacentral:lncRNA from 1 species